UAGGGAAUCUUCCGCAAUGGACGCAAGUCUGACGGAGCAACGCCGCGUGAGUGAAGAAGGAUUUCGGUUCGUAAAACUCUGUUGUUAGAGAAGAACAGCGCAUAGAGUAACUGUUAUGCGUGUGACGGUAUCUAACCAGAAAGCCACGGCUAACUACGUGCCAGCAGCCGCGGUAAUACGUAGGUGGCAAGCGUUGUCCGGAUUUAUUGGGCGUAAAGCGAGCGCAGGCGGUCAAUUAAGUCUGAUGUGAAAGCCCCCGGCUCAACCGGGGAGGGUCAUUGGAAACUGGUAGACUUGAGUGCAGAAGAGGAGAGUGGAAUUCCAUGUGUAGCGGUGAAAUGCGUAGAUAUAUGGAGGAACACCAGUGGCGAAGGCGACUCUCUGGUCUGUAACUAACGCUGAGGCUCGAAAGCGUGGGUAGCAAACAGG
rnacentral:rRNA from 1 species